rnacentral:lncRNA from 1 species
GAAACCUAAUUGCAGAUCCUAUAAAAGUAAGAAUAAAAAGUAUAUUUGACCAUUUAAAAUUAUAAUUUAAAAUUUGUCAAGUAUAGUCAAAGCUCACAGAGAGUCUCCAAUAAUGUGCAAUUUCUAGAUCUAAUUUUCCAAAGAUUUUGGCAAAAAGAUAUUUCAAGGUUUCAAAAUAUUAUUAAAAAUAAAAAGAAUUAGGAAACCUUUUUGGAGUUUAUGAAACGCUUUCUAGCUAGAGUUUUCAAAAAGUUCCGAUUUUCAAAACAUGUCCGAAAUAAUUCUUUGAAGUUUUCGUGCAACCUAUCC